GAAAGCAUAUGGAUGCAGGAAGUCGUCCCUUAUAUAUCGGACCAGAAGGCCUUCCAGGCUACAAUUUCCCAAGAGCCCGAACCACGGCCACUUCCUGAGCCCAAAGGAGUAGUUUCAGGCAGAGGAAGGGCCAAGAAAACUACAGGAAGGACGUGGAAAAAAAUCAGGAUACUGUGGUCUUCUGUGAGGGACCGGUAUAUAAGGGACCAAAAAGAGGAGGUGGAAGUACCGAGAGCAUCCAAGAAGUAAGAAUAUAAGUACGCGGAACACAACUUUCAGUGUCUCCCACCUGAAUCCCCAAAGCCAGGACAUGGAGUCCUCUUCUGCCCCAACCACCACCACAUCCACCCCCACCCCCAGCACUGCUGAACAAGGGCCCCAACCUUAUCGGGUGGAUCAGUUCACUGAGGGAAUACUACUUCCUUCAGUGCUCUGGUCAAUCCGGUGAGCACUGGUAGGAGACGUUGGGACGAUGGAGGAACUCAUCAUGCUGACGAGAGACCGCUUGAUGAGACUGGAUCCAACAAUGGCAGACUUAAGGGAGGAUUUUCACCAGACACGGCAGGCGGGGGCAGUGCCGUUGACUGGUUUCCCUUCUGACUGCCUAUUGUUUCUACAGAGCC